rnacentral:rRNA from 1 species
CAACUUGAGAGUUUGAUCCUGGCUCAGAACGAACGCUGGCGGCAGGCUUAACACAUGCAAGUCGAGCGCCCCUCCUUCAAGCAAGCUUGAAGGGUUAUUAUUCGGAUUUCGGGCAAGCAAGCUUGAAGGAUGAUAAUCCUUGAAAAAGAAGAUCAAGAGGCUUUUAAGAAGCUUUCUUGAUGGAGGGGAGCGGCAGACGGGUGAGUAACGCGUGGGAAUCUACCGUACCCUACGGAAUAGCUCUGGGAAACUGGAAGUAAUACCGUAUACGCCCCCCUUUA